rnacentral:rRNA from 1 species
UUCACCUGUUUAUCAAAACAUGGCUUGAAGAUUAUAAUUUUAAGUCGAUCUGCCCAAUGAUUAAAAAAUUGAAUGGCUGCAGUAUAAUUAACUGUACAAAGGUAGCAUAAUCAAUUGUUUUUUAAUUAAAAACUUGUAUGAAAGAAUUAAUGAGAUAUAUACUGUCUCAUAUAUAUUUAAUGAAUUUAAAUUUUUAGUAAAAAUGCUUAAAUAAUUUUAUGGGACGAUAAGACCCUAUAGAAUUUUAUAUUAAAAUUUUAUUAAUUAUUUAAUUAAAAUUUUAAUAUUUAAUUGGGAGGAUUAAUAAAUAAAAUUAACUUUAUUUUAAAAAUAAACUUUGAUUUAAGAAUAAAUAUUUUGAUCUUAUAUUAUAAAUCAAAAGAAUAAAUUACCUUAGGGAUAACAGCGUAAUAUCUUUUUAAAGAUCAUAUUAAUAAAGAUGUUUGCGACCUCGAUGUUGAAUUAAGAUAAAUUUUAAAUGAAGAAAUUUAAAAAUUAAGUCUGUUCGACUUUUAAAAUCUUACAUGAUUUGAGUUCAAAUCGACGUGAGUCAGGUUGGUUUCUAUC